UACGGAGGAGGCAAGCGUUAUCCGGAAUUAUUGGGCGUAAAGCGUCCGUAGGUGGCUAGUCAAGUCUGCGGUCAAAGACUGGGGCUUAACCCUGGAAAGGCCGUGGAAACUGACGAGCUAGAGUGCAGUAGGGGUAGAGGGAAUUCCCGGUGUAGCGGUGAAAUGCGUAGAGAUCGGGAGGAACAUCUGUGGCGAAGGCGACUGCCUGGACCAGCACUGACACUGAGGCACGAAAGCGUGGGGAGCAAACAGG
rnacentral:rRNA from 1 species